UCUUGUCCUGCUUCUAUUCCCGGUACUUACUAUUGAUAAUUCCUUUAAUUUCCUAUAAGGUUGGUUGUAUAUAUUUAGAGUGGUAGGUAGAUAACCUGAUAUGUUUAUAUUUCUUAUGUAGUUCCCAUCUUUGGAGAAUGUUUCUGUUUCAGAUUUUGAUUGAUAUGCUAUUGAUGCAUUUAUAUGUAUUUGCUAUAUGAUUUGGCAGUAGUGGUAUCAUGUGCAGUGACCACGCUGGGUAGUUUGAGGUGGUAGUGAUUUGACAGCGACAACCAUUGAUAAAGCACUUGGGUUGCGAGAAAUUCAGGUCUUGCAUCCACAGUCCAUGAGAUUGGCUAGAGAAGAUGAUAUUCCUGUGAGGGUUAAAAAAAUUUACAACCCUAAAGCUCCAGGGUCUAGACUGUAUUUAUUUAUCAGUCUUAACUGCAGGCUAUACUAACAAGCAUCAUAUUGAAAAGGAAUGUGACCAUGUUGGAUAUUAUUAGCACUUGCAUGCUUGGACGAUAUGGUUUUCUUGCUGAGGUGAGCAAGCAAAGUACUUGUUUCUAUUGAUUUUUCCU